AUACGGAGGGGGUUAGCGUUGUUCGGAAUUACUGGGCGUAAAGCGUACGUAGGCGGACUGGAAAGUUGGGGGUGAAAUCCCGGGGCUCAACCCCGGAACUGCCUCCAAAACUUCCAAUCUAGAGAUCGAGAGAGGUGAGUGGAAUUCCAAGUGUAGAGGUGAAAUUCGUAGAUAUUUGGAGGAACACCAGUGGCGAAGGCGGCUCACUGGCUCGAUACUGACGCUGAGGUACGAAAGCGUGGGAAGCAAACAGGAUUAGAUACCCUAGUAGUCC
rnacentral:rRNA from 1 species